AGUGAACGCUGGCGGCGUGCCUAACACAUGCAAGUCGCGCGGGGUUUUGCAGAGUAUCGCAGAACCUAGCGGCAAACGGGUGAGUAACACGUAGGAAACCUCCCUCAGAAUGGGGAAUAUCUCCGAGAAAUCGGAGUCAAUACCGCAUAAGACCACAGAUUGGCAUCAAUCAGGGGUCAAAGCAGUAAUGCGUUCUGAGACGGUCCUGCGGCCCAUCAGGUAGUUGGUGGGGUAACGGCCUACCAAGCCAAUGACGGGUAUCCGGCCUGAAAGGGUGACCGGACACACUGGAACUGAGACACGGUCCAGACUCCUACGGGAGGCAGCAGUGGGGAAUUUUGGACAAUGGGGGAAACCCUGAUCCAGCGACGCCGCGUGGAGGACGAAGGCCUUCGGGUUGUAAACUCCUUUUAGAGGGGAAGAAAAAAAUGACGGUACCCUCAGAAAAAGCCACGGCUAACUACGUG
rnacentral:rRNA from 1 species